rnacentral:rRNA from 1 species
CUUCGGAAUCUGAGACCCGCGCACGGGUGCGUAACGCGUAUGCAAUCUACCUUUUACUAUGGGAUAGCCCAGAGAAAUUUGGAUUAAUACCAUAUAGUAUAUUUGAAUGGCAUCGUUUGAAUAUUAAAGAUUUAUCGGUAAAAGAUGAGCAUGCGUCCCAUUAGUUAGUUGGUGUGGCAACGGCAUACCAAGACGAUGAUGGGUAGGGGUCCUGAGAGGGAGAUCCCCCACACUGGUACUGAGACACGGACCAGACUCCUACGGGAGGCAGCAGUGAGGAAUAUUGGUCAAUGGAGGCAACUCUGAACCAGCCAUGCCGCGUGCAGGAUGACGGUCCUAUGGAUUGUAAACUGCUUUUGUACGGGAAGAAAACAAACUACGAGUAGUUAAUUGACGGUACCGUAAGAAUAGGGAUCGGCUAACUCCGUGCCAGCAGCCGCGGUAAUACGGAGGAUCCAAGCGUUAUCCGGAAUCAUUGGGUUUAAAGGGUCCGUAAGGCGGCCUUAUAAGUCAGUGGUGAAAGUUUUUGGCUUAACCAAAAAAUUGCCAUUGAUACUGUAGGGCUUGAAUAUCUGUGAAGUAACUAGAAUAUGUAGUGUAGCGGUGAAAUGCUUAGAUAUUACAUGGAAUACCGAUUGCGAAGGCAGGUUACUAACAGAUGAUUGACGCUGAUGGACGAAAGCGUGGGUAGCGAACAGGAUUAGAUACCCUGGUAGUCCACGCCGUAAACGAUGGAUACUAGCUGUUUGGUUUUCGGACUGAGUGGCUAAGCGAAAGUGAUAAGUAUCCCACCUGGGGAGUACGGUCGCAAGACUGAAACUCAAAGGAAUUGACGGGGGCCCGCACAAGCGGUGGAGCAUGUGGUUUAAUUCGAUGAUACGCGAGGAACCUUACCAGGGCUUAAAUGUAGAUUGACAGAUUUGGAAACAGAUUUUUCUUCGGACAAUUUACAAGGUGCUGCAUGGUUGUCGUCAGCUCGUGCCGUGAGGUGUCAGGUUAAGUCCUAUAACGAGCGCAACCCCUGUUGUUAGUUGCCAGCACGUAAUGGUGAGAACUCUAGCAAGACUGCCAGUGUAAACUGUGAGGAANGUGGGGAUGACGUCNAAUCAUCACGGNCCUUACGUCNUGGGCCACCACGUGCUACAAUGGCCGUACAAAAGCANCCCUUGGCGACANGGGCCAUCUAUAAGCCGUCCCGUUCGAUCGAGUCCGCAC